rnacentral:lncRNA from 1 species
CAAACAAACAAACAAACAUAGUUUCCCCAUUCAAUCCAUUUGCAAAUUACAUAAAAAAACAUUAUGCACAUUUAACAUUGAAACAGUGAUGUCUUGAAACUGUUCCUGAAUCACUCAGCACACACCAUGAUUCAUAGAACCACACACAAUCAAAAUUAUUCACAGCAUCACCCCAUGGGCAUGGAAUAUGACUAAAAGGCAGACCCCAAAAAGAGUUUCUCCAUACUCUAAAUUCAAAUAAACAACAAAGGAUCGAUGGGAAAUGAAGAGGAAUGAUUAAUAUUUAAGGAUUGACACAAACACUACCCACCCUUCAUGUCAUUUGGUUGAAUGGUUCAGGCUGGGGUGGACGUCCAAACUAUGUCCUUGAGAGCCGGCCGGAGCUCCUUGUUGCAGAACUGGUCGUACUCCAGGCUAUCACCAUGGUGCUUCUUCACCUCCACCACCAGGAAAGACGGCGCCACUGCGAAUAUCUCCGCUCCUAUCGCUAAUUUCCCUUUUCUUCCUCUUUCCUGCCCCUGCAGCCUCACUAUCGUUUCGCUCUUCUUCACGCUGAAUUUCCCUGCCUUCGCUACCUCCUCCAG